rnacentral:lncRNA from 1 species
CCCACAUCUAAAUUUUGCAAAGGCACUUCUUUCACAAAAAGGCAUUAACAGUUUGCAGUAGUUUUCAACAACACAAUCCUGCUUCAAAAUAUUAUAAGUUCUCAAUUUAUUACGCCCAUUUCCCCGUCUGGAAGAGGAUUAAUUAACAAUACUUUUCCAUUCUUCAAUAUAAUUAUCAAACAUUCUUGACAUGACUGUAUCAAUAAACAAAUUUUUAUUAAUAUAAGUGUUUGUAUCACAAAAGUCAACCAAUUCAAGUUCAGUGAAUUGUUUUUUAACAAUGAAAUUCCAAUUUUUU